rnacentral:tmRNA from 1 species
GGGGGUGACAGGCUUCGACUCUGGUCGUCGAGGUGAGAGAAGCGAGCCGUGGUCUCCGGAGCCACGUUAAAGAGCCGGAACCAAAAACAAACGCCGAGCCUCAGCUCGCGAUCGCUGCCUGAGAGUAGCGACGUCCGACCGGUCUCAGCCCUGCGGGCCGGAUCCGGGCGACAUCUAGUAGGGCUCACCUGACUGGUCGCACCGACAGGCCACCGGGGACACGCACGUCGGGUACGGGUCGCGAUCGACGCUGGCGAAGGUCGUGGCCCCGACAACCUUCCGCCAGCUGCGCUCGGAGAAGCCUCAUCAAGAAGCCAGAGGACGCGGGUUCGAUUCCCGCCACCUCCACGU